rnacentral:tRNA from 1 species
GCUGAUGUAGCACAGUGGUAGUGCACCUCGUUGGUAACGAGGAGGUCGCGGGUCCGACCCCCGCCAUCAGCUCCA